rnacentral:tRNA from 1 species
GCCGAAGUGGCGGAACAGGCAGACGCACUUGACUCAAAAUCAAGCGGUCUUAAGAUCGUGUGGGUUCGAGUCCCACCUUCGGCACCA